UAAAGUGACCUGCCCAAAAGAAGAAGUUAGUGCUGUUGUUAUCUCUCAGAGAAAAUUUGUCUGUUAAAUUGUAUUCCUAAACUGUACAAAUGAUAAAUAUAGACGUAAUUAAUUACAUCCCUCUGAUUUAAGACAUUUACGGCUCUUCGUGAAUGGAUAAGAAGCAACCUCAUUUGCAAGCAAUGUCUCUAGAUUCAGAAUAUCCAACAGGCCAGUCCUACGAUCUGGGAUGUUUUGGGUGACAACUGACAAGCAGAUGUUUGUCCCCCAUAGGAAUCUCCCAUAUGUCACUUUUAUUGUAGCUGACAGUGACUGUAAUUAUGGCUUACUUAGCCAUGCUUAUCAAGAGCUGCCCACUUGGUUCACCAGCCUAAAAACUAUCAUCUUCAAAAGCUUCCAGAUUUGUUAUGGUCGUAGAACAGCAGACGACGGAGUUCAAAGUGGCAUUGUACCAUCGGGCAGAACCCAAACGGUCGAUGCAUUGAAAAUGUCGGACCUAUGUUGAUGAAUUUUCACCAGCACUCUUCCACAAGACGCACGCGAAGCAAACGAUAGCGAAGGAGAUAUGGACUUGAAUUGAGAGUUCGGGAACGAAAUUAGAUGUGGAUGGGUUUGCUGUUGACAUGCAAGGGAAGGAUUUUUACCAAACAAGACAGCAACGAAAUUUGUUGUGGCUGGUUUUGUUGUUGACAAGCUAGGGAAGGAUUUUUUUUACCAAAGUAGACAGAAUAUUUAUUCUAAAUCCCACAAUGUCCUGGUAGUAAAUUACUACAAAUCAUACUGAAUUAGAAUAGGAUUUUGACUGAGGCUGGGUGCCAAAACAAUGGAUGGUAAUUGGAAGCACGAUUGGAAAUAUCCAUGAUUUAUUAACGUUCCUCAUGUUACGGUAUUUUAUUAAAGGCAAAUUGAAGUGCAUAUCUGGGCUCCCUUCUUUUCUGUGGCCCCGUUUCCCCUUGACUCAUAAUAAGCCCGUAGGGGGUCAUGCCCCUACUGUACGGUAUAUAUAAAAACAACAU